rnacentral:misc_RNA from 1 species
AAAUGCGAUAAGUAAUGUGAAUUGCAGAAUUCAGUGAAUCAUCGAAUCUUUGAACGCACCUUGCGCUCCUUGGCAUUCCUUGGAGCAUGCCUGUUUGAGUAUCAUGAAAUCUUCAAAGUAAAUCUUUUGUUAACUCAAUUGGUUUCUACUUUGGUAUUGGAGGUCUUUGCAGCUUCACACCUGCUCCUCUUUGUUCAUUAGCUGGAUCUCAGUCUUAUGCUUGGUUCCACUCGGCGUGAUAAGUUAUCUAUCGCUGAGGACACUGUAAAAGGUGGCCAAGGUAAAUGCAGAUGAACCGCUUCUAAUAGUCCAUUGACUUGGACAAUACUUUUAUGAUCUGAUCUCAAAUCAGGUAGGACUACCCGCUGAACUUAAGC